rnacentral:rRNA from 1 species
UACGGGGGGGGCGAAGCGUUGUUCGGAAUUACUGGGCGUAAAGGGCUCGUAGGUGGCCAACUAAGUCAGACGUGAAAUCCCUCGGCUUAACCGGGGAACUGCGUCUGAUACUGGAUGGCUUGAGUUCGGGAGAGGGAUGCGGAAUUCCAGGUGUAGCGGUGAAAUGCGUAGAUAUCCGGAGGAACACCGGUGGCGAAGGCGGGUCUCUGGGCCGAUACUGACGCUGAGGAGCGAAAGCGUGGGGAGCAAACAGG